AAAUUGAAGAGUUUGAUCAUGGCUCAGAUUGAACGCUGGCGGCAGGCCUAACACAUGCAAGUCGAGCGGAAACGGCAGUAUUGAAGCUUCGGUGGAUUUACUGGACGUCGAGCGGCGGACGGGUGAGUAACGGCUGGGAACCUGCCCUGACGAGGGGGAUAACCGUUGGAAACGACGGCUAAUACCGCAUAAUGUCUUAGUUCAUUACGAGCUGGGACCAAAGGUGGCCUCUACAUGUAAGCUAUCGCGUUGGGAUGGGCCCAGUUAGGAUUAGCUAGUUGGUAAGGUAAUGGCUUACCAAGGCAACGAUCUUUAGCUGGUUUGAGAGGAUGAUCAGCCACACUGGGACUGAGACACGGCCCAGACUCCUACGGGAG
rnacentral:rRNA from 1 species